rnacentral:lncRNA from 14 species
GCUCCUGGCACCUAAUCCAUGUGGAUAAAUAUUUGCUGAGUGGACAGAUGAUAAUGGAGAGGCAGUGAUGUGCCAGUCCACUAGCAGUAAAUAGGGAAGGCAAGAAAAGCCAAGGUGGACAGUUCUUGGGAGAGCACUCAUGACAAAUGAGGGAGGUAAGAGGAAGGCACAAUGGAAACGCCUCCGUUACAGUACAGUGCAACUUCCUGAGCACAGAAGAAAUGUGAACAUGGUGAAUAUGAGCUGUGCAGUGGGGAAAUGACCUGGGUCACUGCCAUAGCCUUCCUGCGUGGUACCACAUGUUAGCUGUGCAGUGCACAUCUACUGUACAGUGACUGAGAGGAGGGCCUUAGAUAGUGCAGUAGUUGUUUAUAAUCAGUAAGACUUGCUCUUCCUGCGGGUCCCCCAACAAUUGGAGUGGGGGUUGCCCCUAACUCUGCUGCCUGCCUGUGGAUCCUGCUCCCCUAACUGGGCCACUUUGUCUGGCCCCAGCGGGAGAGGAUGUGUCUAGUCCUGCGUGUUCAUACCCAGGGGCCUCUCCCUUAUCAGAGGAGAAGAGGAGGGGGUUGAGAGGAGAGGUUAUGUGAGGGGAGAAUGGGAGGAGGGGGCUGUAAUUGGGAUGUAAAUAAAUGAAUUAAUUAAUGGAAAAAAGA